UGCAAUACACACACAGACACAGAUGCACAUACGGACUCAAAUGAGCAAAUGAGCGCAGGAGGUGUGUUUUCUUGCUGUUUGAGUAAGCGGGUACACACACACACACAUACACACAGGCUUUGCUCAGUGUGUGUGUUGCUGCAGAUAGCUCCCCCUCUCUGGUGUAUGAAUGAGUGUCCUGAGAGUGCUGGAUAAAGGUGGUCUGUGCUGCAGCUCUGCUCCACUGACCCUUAAAGGAGGCAUUGAUGGGAGGACCGGCCGGCUGCUGCAGCUCCAGGACCUGCGUCCGCCUGCAGCACACCGGCCGAAGAUGGAGAGAGUCAGGGGUGGGAGCAGCUCUGCGAUCUGUACAGUAAGACUCCUAACACGCUGACCGUGAAGCUUCAUUCAUCACGGCCGAAAUCUCGAGAUGUGUGGCUCUCUCUGUCUUUAACGCCAUUGGUCAGAAAGUGGGUCAGAGAAGGUAGACUGAGGUGCGACUGCCUCUCUGCUCGCUGGACUCUUACUGUUGGUUCAUAGAUGGAACUCAGAGCCGGGGCCUGAACAAGAGCCAGGGGCCAGUGUUAGUAAACUGUGGAGAGACCAAGGGAAGUACCUCAUCCGACACACACACACACAGCUCAGGGUUUACACUGUGCGACGACCAAGAGAAGCAUCUCAUCUGCAUUGCACCUACACACACACACACACACACACAUGCACACGCACUAAGGAGCCACAAGCAUUGGCACACUCAGGCCUCUCACAACAUGCUUUGUAAAUAUUUACAGCUCGGCAGGCGUUGAAGGGAGAGGAACAUGGCGGACCAAGCAGCGCCGGUCGAACGUAACCGGCCAUCAGCCAACCCCUACAUCUCCACCCUCCCCCCCCAUCAUCUCCGACCAUCACCGGACUUCACAUCCACUGGGCAAACAACAUUACCCUAUUCAGCAUCUGUGCACUGUGGCUUACCUUGGCUUACCUUGCGGCAGUUGGGGAGGUUACCUCAGCUGAGCAUGGGGCCGGAGGCUGCUUCCUGAAAAUAAAGCGAAGAUUAUGUUUUUAGCUACUCACAAUAAGAGAGGCAGUGGUAAGCUGAAUGCUGGGUAAACUGUGACCUCCUGUCAGUGGUCAUACUGAGGUGAAUAGUUAGGAAUAAGCAAAAAAAGGGUUACAUAUUUAGACUUUCACAGGAGUUUGAUACCUUGCCAGACUGAAAAAGUGCACAUGUUGAGUUUAAUCUUCCCUCUAUCAUUAUAUAAAACUGUUGAGCUUUAGGCAAAUAGACAUUUGUCGGUUAUAGUGCCAAACUCACAGUCACCACAUUGGUAUUUUUUCAGUCAAUAAAAGAACAACAUGUACCCAAGUAUGGUGCAGUGCAGCAGUUCACAAACAACUUUAUGUUACAUGGCUCAGACAUCCACAUACUAUUAUGUCAUCAACUUCAAUUAAAGUUAAUCUGAUGUUGUGGAACCUGUGUUAAACAGCGGCCACUGUGGACACCAGUGGUAAUUACAGUUUAAUUGCAUAUUGAGUUUUCCCUCCAUUUCCCAAGAUGUGUUUUGUACAUCUAUGAAUAUGUGUAACUGUGUGUUUAAUCUGUGUGUAAAUCUCACAUCACAUUGAAUCGUAUUGUAUUUCCUUGAUUCAGUUGUUUUAAACCUGUAUUAAUGUAUUUUUUGGCCAUCUGGAGGCUUUAUAAAUGUGUUAUGGUGAUUGUGUUAGACAAUAGUUGCCUAAGUGCACAUCUAGCAGACACAGAGCAUUAUUAGCUUUCAUUCUGAGCUGUUUCUGGUUCCACUCCCAAUUUAUGAGAGACCUAUGAUAAAUGCUCCACUAUGUUCACCAGCUAGAUGCAGGCUGUAAAACCAAAACAAUGAGCUGAAAGAAAGAAGGGAAGGGAACUGAAGGGAACUGCAAACUCAACUGAUAACUGUAUUUGGGUGUGAUACAAUUCCUGAAAUGUCUGUGACACACUAAACAUAGUGUAACAGUGGCUCAAAUAGAGAAGAGUCUUUAAAUCAGCUAACAAGUUUGCUAACAUUAGCUGCCAUUAGCUCCUGGUCAUACUAGACAAAGUAAGGCUCUCACAAACAAAGGCUCGAUUUCUUUAAUAUAGAUUUUCUGUUUUUUGAAAGAAGAAUAAUGUGUUGUUUUUUUUUUCUUUAAAAAGUUACAUGACUGCGCUUUGAGUUAUAGGCCUCACAGGACUCCUGACUCUGGAUGCAGACUGCUGUGGGAAUGAAUCCCACUGAACUGUAACCCUCUGUCUUGUCUCUCUUGGCAGCUUAAACAUCGCCUUGGACUCAGAUAUCACCUGCCUUUCUAAUUACAUAAAGUUACAACAGUAA